AUCUAAUGUAAUUCCUGCAACGUUAAUGCAUUGGAUCCCAUUAUAAAUUUUUUGUUAAGGACUCUUGGACUAGAGUAGUACUAGGAUGGGUGACCUCUCGAGAUGUCUUAGUGUUUUACAUG
rnacentral:rRNA from 1 species